rnacentral:lncRNA from 1 species
AUGGGAGCGCACAGCACUGGAAGCCUGGUGCUGAGGGAUGUGGAACAGAAACCUGCCUCACACCCAUUUAACAAAAACAGUAUUUGUGAGUAGUACCCUGGUUGUGGGGAAAGAAAAAAAAAAAAAAAAAGUCCCUAAAAAAGGUGCAGAGCACCAAAAUCAGCCCUUCAGCUGCCUGCUCCUCCCUGUGACCCCUCGACUUCACGUGGCUUCACUUAUACCUCGGAUAUCAGCUUAAAUUUUUAUCACUCUAAGAUUUUUUUUGGAAAACGUCCAAGCUCUGUUUGAUACCUGCUCUCUGAAACUUCAGUUCUCAACUCAGCCCAGCCCAGAGGUCGUUUUUAAAAAUGUUUCUGUGGUACGUGAUGCUGGUUUAACACAUUCCAGCAGCGCAGACCACAGAGGUGUGAGCUGCGCCUCGUCCAGCACAGCCCAAAAGCCGAGGCCUGGCAUACCCCAACCCAAUUUUGUAAUUUUUGCCCACAAAUACCCCAACCCAAGGCUUUUUGCCCACAAAUUUGAGCUUUUUAAUUUUUUUUUUCCACAAAAGCUCACUUAAAACUCUGUGAAAACCCAAUUUUUCCCACAACCUUUGAAAAAAAACGCAGCUUCUUUCUCUGAAAUAAAACCUAUUGUGGUACUUUUAAAAAAGAUGUAUUUAUUUAAUGUAUUUAUUUCUCCAAUGCCCCUCAGCGAGCGGUUUCGAUCCCCUCAGAGGCUUUUCCCGCCCUUUUCCUGAGGCGGCCGUUGCCGCCCCAACGGUCGGUGGCGGCGGGUUGCGCAUGCGCGGGUGGGCGCCAUGGUAACGGGGCAGCUGCGGCCGGGGGGGCCGGGACCGGGACCGGGAUCCGGAUCAAAAUCGGGAUCAAAAUCGGGACCGGGAUCAGAACCGGGACCGGGACCGGGAUCCGGACCCGUUCAGCGCUUGGUGUCCGCCGCCGGCAGGGCGGGGGGUGUGCGGGCAUCUGCUGGGAGAUCCCCUACGAGACCACAAAAUCUGUGCAGGGAAGCUCCAAGUCCUGGACCCUGGCAGAGCUCAGAGUUACCUCAGUGGUGGUUCUGUGCUUUUAGGGACCAUCUUCAGGGCUUAGCGUGGAGGCUCCCAGCUCACUGACAGGACUUAACCAUGGCAGGUAAAAGUAGUAAGCCCAAGCGUGCCAAAGGCAAAAGCUCCAAAAAGAAAGGGAAGAAGGCGGUGAAGGACGUGGAUAUCCUCAGCCCAGCCGCCAUGCUCAACGCCUACUACGUCUGCCACAACGCCCCCGCCUGCCUGGAGUUGCGGGGCUUUCCCUGGCCUGGCUCCCCCAAAAAGAAGGGCAAGAAACGAAA